rnacentral:rRNA from 1 species
CACGUAGGGCGCAAGCGUUGUCCGGAAUUAUUGGGCGUAAAGAGCUCGUAGGCGGUCUGUUGCGUCCGCUGUGAAAACUCGGGGCUUAACCCCGAGCCUGCAGUGGAUACGGGCAGACUAGAGGUAGGUAGGGGAGACUGGAAUUCCUGGUGUAGCGGUGGAAUGCGCAGAUAUCGGGAAGAACACCCGUGGCGAAGGCGGCUCUCUGGGACGGUACUGACGCUGAGACGCGAAAGCGUGGGGAGCGAACAGG